rnacentral:tRNA from 1 species
GGGGCAUUAGCUCAGUUGGCUAGAGCGCAACACUGGCAGUGUUGAGGUCAUCGGUUCGACCCCGAUAUGCUCCACCA